AAUAUUGGACAAUGGGGGCAACCCUGAUCCAGCCAUGCCGCGUGUGUGAAGAAGGUCUUCGGAUUGUAAAGCACUUUAAGUUGGGAGGAAGGGCUUUAGGUUAAUACCCUGAAGUUUUGACGUUACCAACUGAAUAAGCACCGGCUAACUCAGUUCCAGCAGCCGCGGUAAUACAGAGGGCGCAAGCGUUAAUCGGAAUUCCUGGGCGUAAAGCGGGCGUAGGUGGGUCAGUAAGAUGGGGGGGAAAUCCCCGGGCUUAACCUGGGAACUGCUUUCAUAACUGCUGAGCUAGAGUACGGUAGAGGGUAGUGGAAUUUCCUGUGUAGCGGUGAAAUGCGUAGAUAUAGGAAGGAACACCAGUGGCGAAGGCGACUACCUGGACUGAUACUGACACUGAGGUGCGAAAGCGUGGGGAGCAAA
rnacentral:rRNA from 1 species